rnacentral:lncRNA from 1 species
AGAACUGCCGCGGUUGCCCUGCAUCCACCUCGCUCGCCGACUCCGCCCAAGCGUUCAUCCGAGAGGAUCUCACCGGAUUAGUGCAGGAGGGCGUGUGGCGAUGGAGUGCACUCGCCGAGAAGUUUGCCAUGUGUAAUGUGGCUAGAGCCAGGAGGCUAGGAUCGUCCCAGCAUUGGUAGUGCAGAUGCCAACAAGGUGAGGUCCUGCCCUCAAGAUCCGCCUAUUCUUUUGGAACAGUCAUUGCUAUACAUUUGACCGCUCUCAUUGAACUUAAUCUAUCAGACAAUUAACAACGCUCCCAGUAUAAUUAUAACUUGUUUUCCUCACUGAGGUAAUGUCUGGUUUAACAAAUUUCGGUAUAUAGUGCCAAUCAACUUUGAGAUCAUGGGUAAUUGAGUGGUUUGGCUAAUUUAGAAAGCUCAUGUCUUGAUCUCAGAUGAUAUAAAGGGGCCCUAGCCGGUAGCACCAACUGGCGUGACUGAUCCGAAUUUUAUUGACAUAUAAAUGUUAAACUAAUUCCUAUGCAAAAUAUUCUCAAGUUUAGAUCUUUUAAGAUUUGAAUGGUAACCACUUCAUUGAAUGUUGCUUUCCGUGGAGGAUAUGGGAUUCCAGUAUAGAUGAUGAAUGGAGUCUUCAGUAGAAUGCUAUAAAAUACUUUCAUGACUGGCCUGAAUCCUGAUGCUCUCACAUGUCUUUCAAAUUUCAGCCCAAGCGACCCAGAGGAGGCUAGACUUGCUGAGUUGUACAGAUCAGAUCACCUUUACAUGCCUUCAACAUAAAUAAUUAAUGUUGGAUGCAGAUAUUCAGUUAUAUUCGCACAACAUCUAUCACACGCUUAAUGCCAUCAGUGAGCCAGCUUCCAAUUGUGAAAUCUGGGACUCUAGGGGUAAUUUUCUCCUGGCAUUUUCCAAUUCUUUUUAAAUGCCACAUUAACUUGCAUUUUGAAUGAGUGUUUUGGUAUUUUGUCUUAAAUAGCGAAUAGCAAUGACCAGUGACGAUGGGCCCAGAGGGUCACUCAGAGUCCAAUUUGAUGGCGGUAAGCUCUAGCUGCAUAUUUAAUUAAGUUAAGACUUUUCCCUCCAAAGGGUUCAGAACAGA